GUUUUUUUGAAAAAAAAAAAAUUCUUCGAUAAACUUCUUCGGCGAAUCAACACUUCUAUCCUCUUCCACUUAUUCUCCUGAGCUUGGUUGCGAGGCAUCUUCCAAGGGGAAGGAAAUUGCUGGCCAGUGAGCGCGUCUCGAGAUGAGAUGACGGGUUCAACUACGAUGUUGGACUAGGUUGUGCUGGGCAAGCAGUAGAGUGACCUACUUUUCCCCUUGUAUAGGGAAUGAGGCACCAACAAUCACAAAUAGCUCAAUCAAGCCAAUACAACCCUAUGGACCAAACUGGCUCCCAAGUAUUGCAAGAACAUUUCAAUAUGUUUGUGUUGUUGAGCACAAACACCCAACAAGAGACCUCCACCAUUUGUGUUGAAGCAUUUGAAGCAUUAAAGUCAUAGUUUUAUUUCAUUCAUGUACCAAGUUUGGCUCCAAAGCUUGAAUCUUUGAGUAGAACCACACACCCCAUGGAGGCACAACCUGCAUAUAAGGCCAUGAUGAGGAGACAUGAAUUGAAUGUCCUAGGAGUCAAAAGUGGCUGAAUUUCAAGGCCACAACAUCAUGCCCAAAAAAUUGCUUAGACCAAUGCAAACCCUACUAUUUUGAAGCCUUAAGAGAGAAAUAAAUAAGAUGAUGGUGCAAAGAAAAGGAGGAUAUGGAUUCCCAUAUGUGGCAGAGCUUCUUCAACUUAUGCUGAAUUAUGUCUGCAGAAUGGUGACUAUAAAAAGUUUUUUGCAGAAUUUUAUCAAACUAUA